rnacentral:rRNA from 1 species
CCUACGGGGGGCAGCAGUGAGGAAUAUUGGGCAAUGGGGGCAACCCUGACCCAGCCAUGCCGCGUGAGUGAAGAAGGUCUUCGGAUUGUAAAGCUCUUUCGGACGUGACGAUGAUGAAGGUAGCGUCUAAAGAAGCACGGGCAAAUCUCGUGCCAGCAGCGGCGGGAAUACGGAGGGUGCGAGGGUUGUUCGGAAUUACUGGGCGUAAAGGGAGUGUAGGCGGAUAUGUAGGAUAGCGGGGAAAUGCCGGGGCUCAACCCCGGAACUGCCAUUAUGACUAUGUAUCUAGAGUAAUGGAGAGGAAAGCGGAAUACCCAGUGUAGAGGUGAAAUUCGUAGAUAUUGGGUAGAACACCGGUGGCGAAGGCGGCUAUCUGGCCAUUUACUGACGCUGAGGCUCGAAAGCAUGGGUAUCAAACAGGAUUAGAUACCCGAGUAGUC